rnacentral:tRNA from 1 species
GCCGGUGUGGCUCAACUGGUAGAGCAACUGACUUGUAAUCAGUAGGUUGGGGGUUCAAGUCCUCUCGCCGGCACCA